rnacentral:rRNA from 1 species
AUUGAACGCUGGCGGCAGGCCUAACACAUGCAAGUCGAGCGAGCGGCGGACGGGUGAGUAAUGUCUGGGGAACUGCCUGAUAGAGGGGGAUAACUACUGGAAACGGUGGCUAAUACCGCAUACUAUCAGAUGAACCCAUAUGGGAUUAGCUAGUAGGUGGGGUAAAGGCUCACCUAGGCGACGAUCCCUAGCUGGUCUGAGAGGAUGACCAUCCACACUGGGACUGAGACACGGUCCAGACUCCUACGGGAGGCAGCAGUGGGGAAUAUUGCACAAUGGGCGCAAGCCUGAUGCAGCCAUGCCGCGUGUAUGAAGAAGGCCUUAGGGUUGUAAAGUACUUUCAGCGGGGAGGCGUUACCCGCAGAAGAAGCACCGGCUAACUCCGUGCCAGCAGCCGCGGUAAUUC